AUUAAACCAUUUCCCUCCUUCUUCACCACCGUUUUCACCAUACCAUAAACCCGAACCUCCAUUUCUGUGUUAAAAUUUGAAACCUUUACAACUUCUCCUUGUACAAUGCUAUCGAUGUACAUUAGAAGAAAAUUCCUCAAUUUCUUCUCAACUCACAACAUUUCGCAAUCCAAAAUUCCUCACCAACUCAAUGCACAUUCUCAAUUCAACCUUUUUCCAAAACCCCCA
rnacentral:lncRNA from 1 species